GAAUAUGAAUAGGGAUAUGGGUAUCCCAUGAAAGAAAAACAGAGAAAAAAGCUACCCCAAUAUCCAGAAGCAAGUUGAACUGCCAAGGCGCACGACCUGAAGAGGAACAGAAACUGUCGACGACGUGAGAGGUGGAUAUGGCUUCACCACCAUUCACCCUUAUCUCUAUUUACCGUUUCCUUUUUGAAAGUGAAUCCAGGUAGUGUCAUUGGGUGAUUUUGGGCUUCCGUUUUCUAUUGUUUUGGAUUUAAUAUCAGAAAUUUCUGAAUAACGUGAAAGUUGGUGUCUGCUAAUAUUGGAUCCAGAGUAGGUACUAUUUGAGAAUGAGAUUGAAACUGUAAGAUCACACAUACUUGGAAGCAAAGGCCAAAGGCGCAGGAAGUGGGAUACUGGUGGAUUGCAACAAGUGACUUUCAAACUUCAGUUUGCAGAGUCCACUCUUUUUGUUGAGGUACAUGAUGAACAUAUAAAUGUGGCCUACAGUCCAAGAUCUGGCAUGAGGCCUUCAAAAGAUACUGAAAUGCAGAAACAGAUCCACAAGAAACUUGGCUACAAUGCUACAUGCAUAGUUGAUCUCUUGAUGAAACAUAUGGCACUGAGCUGCAUAGUCUCCCUAACCAGUUGCAAACAGCAGGUAGCCUACCUGGGAGCUUUAAUUAUAUGGUGGGGGAAUGUUUAGAUGUGGAUUUUAAUCCAGAUUGGUGGUGGCAAAAUUACUUGGGCAAAUGUUAUAAAUGGUCCUCGUGGUUUGAGGUCAUGACUAUGUUUGCCCCUGUGGUUUAAAAAUAUUCAAUUUUGGUCCUUGGGUUUCAUUAAUCAACUAAUCUUGGUCCAACUAUAACAUUCCCUCUAACACCGUUAGUAAGGCUUUCAUGUGCGCGUCACAUGCUGGGGUAUUUUUAUCUUUUGCAUUUAAACCUCAGUUACCCACUCCUUGUUUACAACUCCACGUUUCAAUUGCAUCCCUUUCACGCUCCUCUCUUUCGCGCUGCUCUCAAGAACACCCUCAAGAACUGAAAAAAUGAAUUAGAAUCUGCUUCAAGGAUUUCAUUCCUCGAUCAUGGUGCAGGUAAAAAUAUAUCUUUCCCUUGAUUUAUAUAAGUACGAAGUGGUCAAAUAGAGUAUAACCACACAUUAGUUCCGUGUGGUCUUGUGCUUAUGAUGGUAAGUUAAGAUCAACUUAACUAGCUCAUAUAUAAACAGCUAGAAUAUGAUGAACUUAUCACAAUAUAUACAAAUUCUGUGGCAAUAUGAUUAUUUUGAGUAAAUAUACAGUACUUCCCAUUCUAUCUUUAAGUGAUACUUAAAAUCAUGUGAAGUUUUUCUUUUUUUGAAGGAGUUUCAAAGGUAAUUAGCAGAUUUUUGUUUGUGUAUUUAUGCUCCGUUUAAACAAAUAUGAGGCAAGGUCUAUUUCCAUAUAUUUUCUCAACUGCAGGUGUUCAAGUUGAGGCAACUGAGGGUGCAGCAAUUGGAGUGAAAUCAUUUUGCGUGAAUGGAUGAAGAUAGAUCAUUACGGUCGAGGAAACAACAGUAGAAGCGAUCAAAAUUAGGGAGAUACUUGAGCUACUAUUAUUUGUGAAAAAUUCUAUGUAGUUGUAACCCAUGAAUAAUUGGUGUGUGAAUGCUUGAGGUUCUUGGGAUGUUGUUGCUGUUAUAUAUCUUGUAAUAAUUAACUAGCAAGUGAUCAUUCUAGUCUCUUUGUUUUUGUGUCAA